AACGAACGCUGGCGGCAGGCUUAACACAUGCAAGUCGAGCGCCCCGCAAGGGGAGCGGCAGACGGGUGAGUAACGCGUGGGAAUCUACCCAUCUCUACGGAAUAACGCAUGGAAACGUGUGCUAAUACCGUAUACGUCCUUCGGGAGAAAGAUUUAUCGGAGAUGGAUGAGCCCGCGUUGGAUUAGCUAGUUGGUGGGGUAAAGGCCUACCAAGGCGACGAUCCAUAGCUGGUCUGAGAGGACGAUCAGCCACACUGGGACUGAGACACGGCCCAGACUCCUACGGGAGGCAGCAGUGGGAAUAUUGGACAAUGGGCGCAGGCCUGAUCCAGCCAUGCCGCGUGAGUGAUGAAGGCCCUAGGGUUGUAAAGCUCUUUCACCGGUGAAGAUAAUGACGGUAACCGGAGAAGAAGCCCCGGCUAACUUCGUGCCAGCCGCCGCAGUAAUAC
rnacentral:rRNA from 1 species